rnacentral:rRNA from 1 species
GCUUACGGCCAAACCUCCUGAGCACGCCCGAUCUCGUCUGAUCUCGGAAGCUAAGCAGGGUCGGCCCGGUUAGUACUUGGAUGGGAGACCGCCUGGGAAUACCAGGUGCUGUAAGCC